rnacentral:misc_RNA from 1 species
UCUCCGUUGGUGAACCAGCGGAGGGAUCAUUACAGAGUUGCAAACCUCCCAAACCAUUGUGAACGUUACCUAUCCCGUUGCUUCGGCGGGCGGCCCGGGCCCCGCGCCCGGCGCCCCCCGGCCCCCCGUGGGCGCCCGCCGGAGGUAAACCAGACCCUUGAAUUGCAUGGCCUCUCUGAGUCUUCUGUACUGAAUAAGUCAAAACUUUCAACAACGGAUCUCUUGGUUCUG